UGCAUCUAGAUUCGCGGCCUAUCAGCUUGUUGGUGGGGUGAUGGCCUACCAAGGCGACGACGGGUAGCCGGCCUGAGAGGGUGUCCGGCCACACUGGGACUGAGAUACGGCCCAGACUCCUACGGGAGGCAGCAGUGGGGAAUAUUGCACAAUGGGCGCAAGCCUGAUGCAGCGACGCCGCGUGGGGGAUGACGGCCUUCGGGUUGUAAACCUCUUUCAGCAUCGACGAAGCCGCAAGGUGACGGUAGAUGCAGAAGAAGCACCGGCCAACUACGUGCCAGCAGCCGCGGUAAUACGUAGGGUGCGAGCGUUGUCCGGAAUUACUGGGCGUAAAGAGCUCGUAGGUGGUUUGUCGCGUUGUUCGUGAAAACUCACAGCUUAACUGUGGGCGUGCGGGCGAUACGGGCAGACUGGAGUACUGCAGGGGAGACUGGAAUUCCUGGUGUAGCGGUGGAAUGCGCAGAUAUCAGGAGGAACACCGGUGGCGAAGGCGGGUCUCUGGGCAGUAACUGACGCUGAGGAGCGAAAGCGUGGGGAGCGAACAGGAUUAGAUACCCUGGUAGUCCACGCCGUAAACGGUGGGUACUAGGUGUGGGUUUCCUUCCUUGGGAUCCGUGCCGUAGCUAACGCAUUAAGUACCCCGCCUGGGGAGUACGGA
rnacentral:rRNA from 1 species